UACGUAGGGGGCAAGCGUUGUCCGGAGUACUGGGCGUAAAGCGCACGGCAGGCGGUCUCUUAAGUUGGAGUGACAGUUGGUGGCUUAACUGCCAAAGUGCUUCGAAAACUGAGCAGACUUGAGGGCUUCAGAGGGACACGGAAUCCGGGUGGAGUGGUGAAAUGCGUAGAGAUCCGGAGGAACACCAAAGGCGAAGGCAGUGCCUGGGGAGUACCUGACGCUCAGGUGCGAAGCCAGGGAGCGA
rnacentral:rRNA from 1 species